AACCACCUCUUGCAAGACACGUGUGGCAAGGAGAGAGUAUUGCGUUUACUCCAUCUCUCUCUCGACGGUUCAAUGCAGCGAUUGAUUUCUCUCUGUUGAUCUUCUGAUUCAACACUCCGGCUCUCUCUGUUGCUCUCAACGAUGAUGAAUCACUGCCUCUUACCGGCGGUGUUGAGAGUAUUCGCGGUGAUGACGACGGCGCCGAGAGACAUGACGGCGAGGGAGACGACGGGAAAAUAGAUAGAAUUGGGAGAGAGGAUGAGGACGACGUGGCCAGUGGCGGUGGCGGUGUCGAUGAAGGCGGUGGCCAGUGGCGGCGUCGAUGAAGGCGGUGGUUCCGCGGUGAGACUGAGAGGAGAUGAAAGUGGUGACAUCAACUUUGUAUUAUUGUCUGAACCCAGUUGCUCGUUAUUACUAUACACUUAAAGAGCUAUGGGGUGUGGGAAAAGAAGAUAUACGGCUGUCAAAGAUGCAGACGACAUGGAAACAUGAGUAUAUGACAAACCUCUGCCUUGCUUUGGUUGUGGAAUCGGAUGGUUCUCCUUUCUACUAGGUUUUGUGUUCCCUCCUUUGUGAUGGAAGAUGAGGGCGUUGAAAGAUUUGGGAUUGGAUGUGAUAAAAGGAACCAUCUCAACUGAAGGAUCCGUUAAGCAGACCAAAUUUUCUAUAACAAAACCUGGCAAAUUGUGGUAGUUGGUCAGUCUAUAUGGACCGGCGGCUGUACUCAAAGUGAAGUUAGUGACAAAUAUCCGCUUACCUUUCAAUUUCGAGCUAUUUAUAUUUAUGUUACGAUAUAAUAAUAACAAAAUCAUAACUAAAUUUAUUUGUUGAAGUAGUAUAUAUGAUUUAUAGAAAUGAAAUAUUUGUUGUCCUAUAUUUAGGAUCGAUUAGGUACAAUGUUAAUUGUUUGUGUUUAAGAAAUAAAUAUCUCGAACAACUAAGAAUUUUAGUUACUCAUUCUGUUUCAUUUUAAUUGUCGUUUUACACUUAUGAAAAUAUAUUAAAAAAUAUUUAAUUUUGAAUAUUUACUAAAUAAAAACAUCAUUAUCAAUACUGCGAUACACCUAAACACAUUUUAACCUAUAGAAAAAUAGGAUGGACUAUAAAGUCAAUAAAUUUUACAUUGAAACUAUAAGGCACUACUUAUUUUGAAACGAAAAUUUUAUUGGAGCGGGUAUGAAGAAAAUACGAAGCUUGAGGAGAAAGUUGGCGUAUAUCAUAGUUUCCAUGAGUCAAGAGUCUCUGUGAAGUAUUAUGUUAACUUUCCCAAAGCUAUUGUAUAGAGAUCAUGUCUUAGGUUUGUAUAUAUAUGAUGGUGAGAUGUAAUGGAAUGGACAAGAAAUUAAGCACAAAGCUUAUCAUGGUAUCAGAGCUAUAAUAGCAAAAACCCUCAAAAUUUCUCAAGAUCGACAUGAGUAUCACAAAAGAGAAGAAGAACGAGACAGAGAUGAUUCGUGUGGGCGCGGAAGCGACACUCUCACCAUACUACCUACAUGAUGUGGAUGGACCUGGAAACACAAUAACUACGGUUCAACUAAUUAAGGGGGAGAACUAUGAAGAAUGGGCAAAGCAUGUGCAGAACGCCUUGCGAAUGAAGGCUUCAUCGAUGGAACUCUGAAGAAACCAACUUAAUCAGAAGAUAUCGAACAAUGGGAGGUGGUGAAUGCUAUGAUAGUAGCAUGGAUAAUGAACACCAUUGAACCAACAUCCUUUGUAUGACUGCAUUAUCAUAGUUACUAACAUAGGAGAGGACUAUAGAAAGAGAUGUAAAUAUGAAUCUCUUACAUGGAUAUCUUUUGUAAACACAUUUGGGUUUAUUAACAGUUUGUGACAAGCGAUUUUGUUUUAGUUAAGGAGACCCGUCGCAGCGACAACAACAAAUGCGCCUGUUUUUC